rnacentral:rRNA from 1 species
UACGUAGGUGGCAAGCGUUGUCCGGAAUUAUUGGGCGUAAAGCGCGCGCAGGUGGUUUCUUAAGUCUGAUGUGAAAGCCCACGGCUCAACCGUGGAGGGUCAUUGGAAACUGGGGAACUUGAGUGCAGAAGAGGAAAGUGGAAUUCCAAGUGUAGCGGUGAAAUGCGUAGAGAUUUGGAGGAACACCAGUGGCGAAGGCGACUUUCUGGUCUGUAACUGACGCUGAGGAGCGAAAGCGUGGGGAGCGAACAGG